rnacentral:misc_RNA from 1 species
UGUUCUCUGCAAGUGGGUUGGGUUUAGUAAUUAAAAAUUGUUCAACUUAGGAUAUCGAGUGGAGAAUGAAAUUUGGGUCUUAUGGAUCUGCUUCUAAUCUUAAGACAGGUCGAAAUAACCGUUGCCAGUUUAGUAGGAUACCUAUCUUUUUUCUGAUGAACAAUAUUAAGAUAUUGGCAAAAUCAGCUUCUGUGCUAUUACUCUAAUAACAAUUCAACUGCUAGGACUAUAAUUUGCUUAUUA